rnacentral:rRNA from 1 species
GGCUCAGAUUGAACGCUGGCGGAAUGCUUUACACAUGCAAGUCGAACGGCAGCACGGGGGCAACCCUGGUGGCGAGUGGCGAACGGGUGAGUAAUAUAUCGGAACGUGCCCAGUCGUGGGGGAUAACGCAGCGAAAGCUGUGCUAAUACCGCAUACGAUCUAUGGAUGAAAGCGGGGGACCGUAAGGCCUCGCGCGAUUGGAGCGGCCGAUGUCAGAUUAGCUAGUUGGUGGGGUAAAGGCCCACCAAGGCGACGAUCUGUAGCUGGUCUGAGAGGACGAUCAGCCACACUGGGACUGAGACACGGCCCAGACUCCUACGGGAGGCAGCAGUGGGGAAUUUUGGACAAUGGGCGCAAGCCUGAUCCAGCAAUGCCGCGUGCAGGAAGAAGGCCUUCGGGUUGUAAACUGCUUUUGUACGGAACGAAAAGGUCUGGGUUAAUACCCUGGGCUCAUGACGGUACCGUAAGAAUAAGCACCGGCUAACUACGUG